rnacentral:rRNA from 1 species
UACAGAGGGUGCUAGCGUUGUCCGGAAUUAUUGGGCGUAAAGAGCUCGUAGGCGGCUUGUUGCGUCGGCUGUGAAAACCCGUGGCUUAACUGCGGGCUUGCAGCUGAUACGGGCGGGCUGGAGUUCGGUAGGGGAGACUGGAAUUCCUGGUGUAGCGGUGAAAUGCGCAGAUAUCAGGAGGAACACCGGUGGCGAAGGCGGGUCUCUGGGCCGAUACUGACGCUGAGGAGCGAAAGCGUGGGGAGCGAACAGG